UUUUAUUUAAUAAUAAUGUCUUUAUAAAAUUGUUUCAGAAUGUUAAUCACUGUGGAAAUAAUAUCGCCUAAUAGUGCCAAAUAUUGGAGUCGAUAAAUUAAGUAUCAGUUUCGUACUGGGGGCCGAUCUAAUCGACUGGUCCGCUCCCCAAAACAUUUCGGGCCUUGUGUCUAGAGUAGAAAAGAAUAUUUAUAUGAAAGAAUCUAAGUCUUGCGGAGAGCUGUGUCCAUAGCCUCCUAGAUGAGCAGUUUCUUCGAUAUCCCAAUGGUUUCCUCGGACUCUGCUCAUGUUACUGACCUGAUGCCUCCGCUAAGCAGAAUAAAGUCUUUGUCACUUGACUCUUCUAAUCUCUUCGAGGCCACCAGAGGCUGGAAUGGAGAUAACAGACCUCCAACGAAAUCAUUUGUUCUCAACAAUAUGUCUAUCCUUCUGGCUGCUUUUCGAUAGUUAUGAAAACAAGAACUCCGUAAGCUAAACGCAGUUACUGACAGCAACCACCAGCCUUUCCCAGGAUGGUCUUGAAAAUUGUCGCCAUAACCUUCAGUGCUGAAUUCAGCCCGAAUCCCAACCUGGUCAGGCAGUACGUCCGUCUCUUAUACCUUAUCAGCUGAUAUUUCCACAGUUUCUCAGCCACAUGCAGAUGCAGGUAUGCCGACUUCAAGUCGACGAUUGUGGAAACCUCCGUCGUCUUCCUCCACUCUCUCAAGGUUUCGCUACAAAUGUCCGUAGCUUCACCGCCCGUAUGGCACAAUAUAUGGGCGUUCAGCUCCUGAAAAUCCAAUACUGGCCUGACUGUUUGGUCGGCUGCACCACUACCAUCAACGUUAGCACUCCAGUCUUUACUUCCUCCUUCCAAGGAAUCAGAACACCUUCCUUGAUCCACCGGUCCAUCCCUCUCUCUCUCGAACUCGCUCCUCGCAUCCACUUUCAGGGUAUGCUGAUAGCAGCCUACUGCGUUCUUCCAGUGCCCUACCGCUCUCCACUGCCGGCCAUCGAACAUCUUUGUCUGUGAUGGUGUGUGCAGCAUAUUUUUCUGCGCAGUUCUCACCACUCGCCUGUCGUGAACUCAUAGCGCCCCUGCAUCACCGAACACUACACCGGCUUCAUUGACCCUAACACUUCCCAAGCGGUCAAUGGCGUCUAUCCCCAUCGCGACAUCGAUCCCGUCCACUACACGAUCAAUCACAAUAGCCCGCAACUUCAAUCUUGUUCCUCGUACCACCAUCUGGCAGAGAGACAAACUGCUCUGAAAUUACAGAAAGCUCUGUGACAACAUGAGGUCAGCCCCAAAGUAUUCGAAAUCAACUGCACAAAUCUCUGUGGCGUCAGAAUUUUCUUGGUUGUCUGCACAAAUGUCUGGAACCGCCAGAUGGCAAGAACAGAGGUGCAUGUCAUAAAAAGGUUGGGAAACACUGCUUUAGGUUAUCAAUUCAAAUCCUGUAGAUGUUAGCAUUGCAUUUCAGCUUUCAGUGUCGAUAUACAAAAGUUAACAGACAAGUACUUGGUUGAUCAAAUGAGUUACACUAAGACAACAUGCAACUUAGACCAGUGCUUCUCAAAAUGGGUAGUAGCGAUCCGGGGUGGGGCGUUGAAGAAUAAAUGUUUUUUGAGUACAAGGGACAAAGAAGCGGUAAGUGCACUAAUACAGAUUUUUAGCUUUGUAUCCUAUUUAAAAUAUUGAUUUUUAAAAUUCGAAUGUAAUAAACCGCUUGUUAGCCUCAGUCACAACACUGACAAUAGCUAACCACACACAAGCAACAAUAAUGAAUAACAAACUUUAUACUGUGAAUAAGUAAAUAAGCAAAACUGAAUAUCUAUCACUGAUGAACGUAAAUUGUGAAUAAAAGUACAAUUUGAAAGACUGUCA